rnacentral:rRNA from 1 species
GUCUACGGCCAUACCACACUAAACAUGCCUGAUCUCACCUGCUCUUGGGAGCUAAGCAAAGGUUGGGCCUGGUUAGUACUUGGAUGGAAGACCACCUGAGAAUACCAGGUGCUGUGGGCU